UACGGGGGGAGCAAGCGUUGUUCGGAUUUACUGGGCGUAAAGGGCGCAUAGGCGGCGCAACAAGUCACUUGUGAAAUCUCCGGGCUUAACCCGGAGCGGCCAAGUGAUACUGUCGUGCUAGAGUGCGGAAGGGGCUACUGGAAUUCUCGGUGUAGCAGUGAAAUGCGUAGAUAUCGAGAGGAACACCUGCGGCGAAGGCGGGUAGCUGGGCCGACACUGACGCUGAAGCGCGAAAGCCAGGGGAGCGAACGGG
rnacentral:rRNA from 1 species